rnacentral:rRNA from 1 species
AUGCAUCCAUUUUCAACCAUUUGUAAGACAAGUAUUUUCGAACGGAGGGAGUACUUGAUACAAAAUAAAAAAACUGGAACCGAUACAACCCCGCUCAGAUCUAUGAUAUGCCGUGCCGUGCAAAAAAAAAAGGCAAGCAAGCUUGUGGAUGACUCACCUGUCCAGCAGCAUCGCCCAUCCUCUCUCGCUGGGAGUGCAGGAGCGCUCGGAUUUUGGAAGAAGAGGAACGGAGAGAGUGGAAUGGAUAGAGAUGAAAUGUCUGCAGCUAACUGCUCCAUUAACUACCAUGGUGCCUGCUCCCCUUCCCUCCCAGCGGCCCGAGAAGAAAAACAAGAUAGAAUAAACAAACAAAAAAGCCCACCCCGCACAAACUGCUCCAGCUAG